AACCACCAUCCAUAUACCUUUAUUUCUUUAAUACCUCCCUACCCUUUCCUUUACUUAUAAUAAACUGAAAAGCCACCAACAUUGUAAAAAAGCAGGCCUACCCCCGUACCUUUGGCAUCAUGGUUUAACUAGUACCCCAGUAUACCUCACCACCCGAACAACUUCCGAGCUGAUAAGACACUAGCCAGACACCCAUAGUAUAAUGUUACAUUAUUAAACUAAGAUGUUCUAUCAGAGGCUACAUACCCACGCGGAGUUAGAUAGCUGGUUGCAUAACAAAUUGAUUUAAGUCAAAAUAACAAAAUGUUAUUAAAACCCUAAAGGCCAAGCUUUAGUGUUUUUUCUAUUAAUUUCUCGAUAUCAACUGCCAUAGGCCUAAAACCCGCCAUAAAACCCCGCUACAGGGGCAGCCCCUUAUAUCCCCUAAUAAUACAAUUUUGUACACACAAAUGCAACAUUCAUUUUUAUAGAAAAUAUUAAAAUGUUAUAACUAGUAUCCUCCAUCCUUAUAAAAUAAUUUAACUUAAAUAUAAAAUAACCUUCUUCAUUAUUUCUAAGUAAGGAACUCGGCAAAUUUUUAUUCAGCCUGUUUAACAAAAACACCGCCUAUUGAAUAUAUAAUAGGUCCAUCCUGCCCAGUGAACAUUUCAACGGCCGCGGUAUCUUGACCGUGCAAAGGUAGCAUAAUCAAUUGCCUUUUAAUUAAAGGCUAGUAUGAAUGGACACACAAGAAUAAAGCUGUCUCACUUAGAAUUAGUAUAACCUGUACGAUAGGUGAAAAUUCCUAUAUAUUUAUAAAAGACAAGAAGACCCUAUAGAGCUUCAUCUAUAAUAGUUAAACACUUACUAUAGAAUUAAUUGGGACAAUUAAAAAACAUUUAUACCUUUUUACCAACCUACACCUACCCUUUAAUGUAAAUGACUAACAGCUACCUUAGGGAUAACAGGCUAAUUUUGCUAGAGAGACCACAUUGACAGCAAAGAUUGGCACCUCGAUGUUGGCUUAGUGUAACUGUUGAGCGCAGCCGCUCAAUAAAGUUGGUUUGUUCAACCAUUAAAUCACUACAUGAGCUGAGUUCAGACCGGCGUAAGCCAGGUUAGAUUCUAUCUUUAUUUUGAAAACUAACCCCCAGUACGAAAGGACCCGGUGUUACAAAUAAAAUUUAAUUAAAACUACAAUAUU
rnacentral:rRNA from 1 species